rnacentral:rRNA from 1 species
UCUGGUCUUGGGACACUGUCAGGUGGGCAGGUUGCCUGGGGCGGGCGCCGCCCAAAAGGUGACGGCGGCGCUGAAAGGUCCUCUCAGUAAGGUCGGAAAUCGUACGUAGAGUGUAAAGGCAAAAGAGGGCUUGAUUGCAAGACAUACAGGUCGAGCAAGGAUGAAAAUCGGACUUAGUGAUCCGGUGGUUCUGCGUGGAAGGGCCAUCGCUCAACGGAUAAAAGCUACCCUGGGGAUAACAGGCUUAGCUCCCCCAAGAGUCCACAUCGACGGGGAGGUUUGGCACCUCGAUGUCGGCUCAUCACAUCCUGGGGCUGUAGUAGGUCCCAAGGGUUGGGCUGUUCGCCCAUUAAAGUGGUACGCGAGCUGGGUUCAGAACGUCGUGAGACAGUUCGGUCCCUAUCCGUCGCAGGCGUAGGAAAUUUGAGAAGACCUGUCCUUAGUACGAGAGGACCGGGAUGGACGUACCUCUGGUGUACCAGUUGU